UACGAAGGGGGCUAGCGUUGCUCGGAAUUACUGGGCGUAAAGCGCACGUAGGCGGAUUGUUAAGUCGGGGGUGAAAUCCUGGAGCUCAACUCCAGAACUGCCUUCGAUACUGGCGAUCUCGAGUUCGGGAGAGGUGAGUGGAACUGCGAGUGUAGAGGUGAAAUUCGUAGAUAUUCGCAAGAACACCAGUGGCGAAGGCGGCUGACUGGUCCGGUUCUGACGCUGAGGCGCGAAAGCGUGGGGAGCGAACAGG
rnacentral:rRNA from 1 species